GAAGAUGACGAGUGGCGGACGGGUGAGUAAUGCUUGGGAACUUGCCUUUGCGAGGGGGAUAACAGUUGGAAACGACUGCUAAUACCGCAUAAUGUCUUCGGACCAAACGGGGCUUCGGCUCCGGCGCAAAGAGAGGCCCAAGUGAGAUUAGCUAGUUGGUAAGGUAACGGCUUACCAAGGCGACGAUCUCUAGCUGUUCUGAGAGGAAGAUCAGCCACACUGGGACUGAGACACGGCCCAGACUCCUACGGGAGGCAGCAGUGGGGAAUAUUGCACAAUGGGGGAAACCCUGAUGCAGCCAUGCCGCGUGUGUGAAGAAGGCCUUCGGGUUGUAAAGCACUUUCAGUUGUGAGGAAAAGUUAGUAGUUAAUACCUGCUAGCCGUGACGUUAACAACAGAAGAAGCACCGGCUAACUCCGUGCCAGCAGCCGCGGUAAUACGGAGGGUGCGAGCGUUAAUCGGAAUUACUGGGCGUAAAGCGCACGCAGGCGGUUUGUUAAGCUAGAUGUGAAAGCCCCGGGCUCAACCUGGGAUGGUCAUUUAGAACUGGCAGACUAGAGUCUUGGAGAGGGGAGUGGAAUUCCAGGUGUAGCGGUGAAAUGCGUAGAUAUCUGGAGGAACAUCAGUGG
rnacentral:rRNA from 1 species